rnacentral:rRNA from 1 species
AUUGAACGCUGGCGGCAUGCCUUACACAUGCAAGUCGAACGGCAGCGGGCCUUCGGGUGCCGGCGAGUGGCGAACGGGUGAGUAAUAUAUCGGAACGUACCUUUCAGUGGGGGAGUAACGUAGCGAAAGUUACGCUAAUACCGCAUAUUCUGUGAGCAGGAAAGCAGGGGAUCGCAAGACCUUGCGCUGAUUGAGCGGCCGAUAUCAGAUUAGCUAGUUGGUGAGGUAAAGGCUCACCAAGGCGACGAUCUGUAGCGGGUCUGAGAGGAUGAUCCGCCACACUGGAACUGAGACACGGUCCAGACUCCUACGGGAGGCAGCAGUGGGGAAUUUUUGGACAAUGGGCGCAAGCCUGAUCCAGCCAUGCCGCGUGAGUGAAGAAGGCCUUCGGUUG